UAGCAGUAUCUAAAAGAAUACUUUGGUAUAAAAUUAACAAAAGAAGUGAAAGACUUAGACACCAAAAAGCAAAGUAUUGCUAAAGGAAAUUUUAAAAGACGUAACUAAAUGAAAAGACAUCCAAUGUUCAUGCGUCAAAAAACAUUAGAAUAACAGUAUUUUCCAAGUAGAACUAAAGAUCCAGUGCAAUCCUUAUCAAAAUCCCAGCUGGCUUUUUUGGGCAGAAAUUGACAAGCUGAUCCUAAAACUCAUGUUCAAGAAUGUUGUAAUCUAGGGCAAGACAAAAACUCUAUCACCAGUAGUUCUUUCUAUCAAGACCAUGCAUUUAUUGUGUACAGACUAAAACUCUUAGUGCAUCUUCCUAAAAUCUAAGCGUACAGCAACAGAUUUUAGAUAUAUUUUCUUUGAUGUCAGAACCACAGAGGAUAACAAUGGAGGGUGAGUACCAUGAUGAGAGAAUAUAGCAUGAGAGAAACAUGAAGAUAAAAACUUUAUUCGUAAAACUGUAGAGAAGAAAACUCACUUCCCAUUUGAAGGCAAGCGAGAGUCAAGACUGCCUCAGAGCAUACAUGUGGCCUCAAGAUUUGCUGGAAAUGGAAGAGAGACGAACAACUCUUCCUAUAUUGGAGGACGCUGCUGUGCCUGGGGACCAAGUCUGCAUGGGCAAAUAACUCUAAACCACCCAGCUCCAUCUCCAGGGUUCCAAACAGCUCCACUCCUUAUCUGUGGAUUCACAUUAGUGAAUCUAUUGGCAAAGCUCAGGCAAGGUGAAGUCUGCUUGAUUUUACCUCCCCAGGAAGUAGAAAAUGAAACUGAUCCAGAUUUCCUCACAACUGUCCUGUCAGUCAUCAAUCAGGAGAAAGAAAAGUCCUUGAUUUGACUUUUAAUUAUGUCACUUAUUGAGUAAUUUUUUAUCUAUAAAUUGGAAGUAAUUAUAUCUGCAUAUUGUGAUAAUUAAAAUAUAAUCUUUCUCCUUGAUCCUCAGAGUAAUUUACAAGUCAAGCAACAAUACUCUAAUUUUUAAAUGAAAAACUAAUCAGAUGCAUUUAUUACUUGAAGAUUUAUAUAUACUUUCUUAUUUAUGAGUGCUUUGGGGUAUUGCUGGGAGGAUUCAGAGCAAAUUCCUCUGCCAUUUUGGUUUUUUCCUUCAUUUUUAAGGGAAGGAAGCAAUAAAGAAGAAAACAUGUAAAUUAAAUUAUUGCAUUCUCAUAUACCAAGCUGACUGUGCUGUUAUUUUUUCUUUUCUGAAACCUUUUCCCAGCUCCAUCACUAAACUUGAAGCUAAUAGGGAAGCCAACGGCACCAGGUGUGGCAGUGGCCACUUCUACCGUUUGCACACACCUGUUCAAUGCUCUUUGAGUAAAACUGACAGCACGAAAUUUACCCCUGUGUUUCUAUUAUCUGAAAUUCUAUAUUUCCAAAAUGUCUAAUGUUUUUCUUUUCUUUUCUCCAUCCUCCAUGAGUUAUGUUGUUAUUAGUUCUUCUCAUUAUACUGAUCAGCAAGCAAAGUAGUGUAUUCAUUUAUUUAUUCAAUGAAUUGGAAAUAUCAAGAGCUUUGUGCAUAGUACUGUAAAACCCUGAAAGUUUCUGCCUUCUCCAUGUAAUAACCAGAGUGACAGAAGAUUUUUAACUCAGGUUUGGGCUCUCAUUUCAGUCUUCCUAACAUUUCACAAUAUAACAUGCUUUGAAAAGGAAACUGUUAUUUGGUCAGGAAGAUGUUCCUUUUCACUGGAGAAAAAAGGAGAAAUAAAUCAGGCAAUUCCAUUCAUCUGCCUAGCUGCAGAUGACUAAAGUACAUGAAACUUCUUUAUUUUCUAAUUAACAGCUAUAGGGCUGGUCUCAGGAAACCGUGCAUAAGUAGUUCAUAAAAGGCAAAAGGUUCAACAUCACCAUGCAAAAAUGAUAAUUAAAAAAGGAGGGAGAAAGGUUGCUUAUAAAUUACACUACACUUGAGGCUAUAACAAAAUCUUUUUAAUUAACUGAAAGAAUGAGGCAAGCAAAUGCUGAGCUUUUACAACUGGUUACUCAAGUUUGUGUGCUAUUGGUAAGCUGAAUAUCACUAAUCAUCAUCUCAAGGGGCGUAGAUUAUCCUAGCGAAUUCUAAAAAUAGUAUCAUCAAAGAUUUUGGCAUUUGCCCUGCUUCUCUGUAGCUCACCUACUAUAACAGAAUCCAGAAACACCCACUGUAAGAGCCAGACUUUUUCUGAAGAACAAAUUUCUUAUGUAAAAGUCACAACAGAAAAAUGCAUCACUACAGACAGCCAUCUGCCGGUUUUCUCUGUUGUAGGAGAAGCAAUUUAUUUUAGAAGAGUUUCUUAGCCAGGGACUCCAGAUUCCAUCUUCAUUUGUGUUUCUUUGGGGUUAAUUUUCACUUUGGUCACUAUCUCAUGUGUUCUUACUCUUCACAUUACCAGUGAUGGUGAAAUCAUUACUCAUAAUGACAGGAUCUAAGAAAAUCCUAUCACACAUCAUAGCAUAAUGGUGGUAUGUCCUGUUGCUUUCAAACCUUUAUUUCUAAAAUAAUUUUUUAAACAUUUUAUUGAAAUGUAGUUGAUUUACAAUGUUGUGUUAGUUUCAGGUGUACAGAAAAGUGAUUCAGUGAUAGAGAUAUAUACAUAUUCUUUUUUAGAUUCUUUUUCACUGUAAGUUAUUAGAAGAUAUAGAGUAGAUUUCUCUGUGCUACAUAGUAGGUCCUUGUAGUGUUUAUCUAUUAAUUCCAAACACCUACUUUAUCCUCUCCUUUCCUCGCUGGUACUUCAAACUUCUUUUUAAUCUCUUAUCAAAAUCUGUGGUUCUUUGCGGGCCUGAGACUGGAGGAUGAACAUUAGCACCAAGUUGGAAAGUACUUUGAUACUAUUGAACAGUUUGCAUUGAGAUGGGAAAAGAAACUAAUCCUUAGGAAUGUGGCCCAUUAAUCCAAUUAAAGAGUCAAGCAAAUUUUAACAACAUAUGUCACCUCAAUAAUGUAAUUUUCCUAACAUAAAAGAAUAUAAUUUCUAAGCAUUUUAUUUCUGUUAAAAAAAAAAAACAACACAGAGACUUCAAAGUCCAAAGCCUAGAAGCAGACCACUGGAGUUAAAAAACAAACAAACAACAGAAAAAAAAAAAAAAAAAAACCCUCUCAACUGGAAGCACCCCUGGAAAAAGAUAAAGGGAUUUAGGAAUUAAUAAGGUCUGGGUCCUCACUCUGUGUCAACACAAUUUAGUCCUCAUGACACCUGACUCCAUUACUAUAUGGCUAUGCCUAUUGCUCCCUCUGCCUUAUUAUCAAUCAGGAGCACUGCAAUUAGGGAGUAACACAGCUCAAGGUCGCAUAGGAUGAUUAUUGAUUCUGAAGUGGAUUUCUAAGCAGAGCCUCUAGAUGGCACUCUUUCUUAUCAGUAGUCAAGGUGAACAAUUUUCUUUCCUAUCUUCACAACAAAGGAUUAAAAUUGGUCCUCUUGUCUUGUAUUUUGAUACAAUUGCAUCUUAGUAGAAAGCUGGAUGCUUACAUAACACAUCUCUUAAAGUUUACCAACAAGAAGUUGUGCUCUU
rnacentral:lncRNA from 1 species